GCCAGCCCGCUCAGAACUUAAAGGAAUUGACGGGGCCCGCACAAGCGGUGGAGUAUGUGGUUUAAUUCGAUGCAACGCGAAGAACCUUACCUGGUCUUGACAUCCCGGAGACCCUUAGGAAACUAGGGGGUGCUUCCAUCUGGAAGAAUCUGGAGACAGGUGCUGCAUGGCUGUCGUCAGCUCGUGUCGUGAGAUGUUGGGUUAAGUCCCGCAACGAGCGCAACCCUUGCCUUUAGUUGCCAGCAGUUCGGCUGGGCACUCUAAAGGGACUGCCGGUGUUAAACCGGAGGAAGGUGGGGAUGACGUCAAGUCCUCAUGGCCUUUAUGACCAGGGCUACACACGUACUACAAUGGCCGAUACAAAGGGCAGCGACACUGCGAGGUGAAGCCAAUCCCGUAAAAUCGGUCUCAGUCCGGAUUGGAGUCUGCAACUCGACUCCAUGAAGUUGGAAUCGCUAGUAAUCGUGGAUCAGCAUGCCACGGUGAAUACGUUCCCGGGCCUU
rnacentral:rRNA from 1 species